GUCCUGACUUAGAAUUCUAACUUCAUUUUUUCAACAGAUGUUGUUGGGGUUAAUUAAAUUUAAUUUCAUAAGGUUGGUAAUACAAAAUCAUUGUCUAUUCCUCGAACGAACCAACCAGCGCUCUCGCUCGGGACAAAAAUAAACUAACUGUCAAUAUAUAGCGAAUGCGCGGGAAAUCUCUAACACUUGAACUUCAUCUACGCACCGAGGCACAACUUGUUUUAAAGUUAAAAAAAAAAAGUAAAGUCGCGAAUACUCUGUGCAGUGUAAAAGUUGUUUGUUCUGUGUAUUUGGUGUGAUAUAUCGAGAGUUUUCUAUUAGAACCGCACUUAUCUGAAAAUGGACAACUUGGACAUUGAAAAGGUGAAUUGCAAAUUGAACCUCUCAAAAUGCGCAGACGCAGAUAAAUUUUGUAUCCAGCGGCCACU